AUGACGUAUUUAGGUCUCCCAAUAACCAUCUCCAGACUACAUAUAGUGCACCUGCAGUUCAUCCUAGAUAGAAUAUGUGCACGCCUCGCGGGCUGGAAAGGCCGGCUUCUGUCAAUCGUCGGCCGGAGGGUUUUGGUCAGAAGCGUUCUGACGGCAUUACCGACGUACGCACUCACCGUUCUCAGGGCGCCAUUAAAAUUCUUCAAAGACAUUGACAAGGUGCGCCGGUGUUUUCUCUGGACGGGGGAUGAGGAGCUGUCCGGUGGGAAAUGCAAAGUGAGCUGGACACAAGUGUGCUCGCCGGUGCAACAU
rnacentral:rRNA from 1 species